UACCCCUCUUCUCGUGCCGACCGACACGUUCCCCUCUCUCUCGCGCGACGCCGCCCACCACUCGCUCCCCUCCACUCGUCUCUCUCUCGCGCGCGACAUGCCCUCUCUCUCUCCCUCUCGCCGGCAUCUUGCUCCGCACCGCCGCCUAGCUCACCGCUCCCCACGCGCCGCCGCCUAGCUUACCGCUCCCCACGCGCCGCCCUCUCCUACUCCGGCAACGCGGUGCUGGGCGAGGAGUAGAUGCAGAAAGCUGCCAUUUUUAUGCGCCGGCAACACGCUGCUGGGCGAGGAGGACGUGCGCACUGGCGCUAGAUCUGAGUGCGCCGGCAGUCGAUCUGCUUUGAGGCUUGAAGGAGGCGCUGAACCGGCCCGGGCGUGAAGACGGCGGCGUGGGGAGCUGGAGCACGAGCGGGAGGAGCUGGAGCCGCAUCUGGAUGUCGCCGUGAUGAUGAGCCGCAUCUGGACGUCGUCGUAGAUGGCCAGGGCUUUAAUCUGGAGCUCAUUUAACUUGGCCAGGGCUUAAAUCUGGAGCUCCAUGGCGUUCCACAAGCGCGGCGGCCAGGCAAUACUCCACUUGUACUGCAUCAAGGAAUGAGUACUUCAAACGCUGGUAGCAUCAGCAGCACCAAAGGGUAGCUUCAGGUUCUCUCCUGGCCAUGGAGCCAUGGGCUGUGAAUAUUAAGCACGAAACAGGGGUCUCCUUUCCUCUUAAGCAGAGCAGCAGCUCCGGUUGAGGAGAUGAACCUGGGCCGCAGCCGAGCCCAGCAGCAGGUCGAGGAAGAGCCUCCACCUGGGCAUGCACGGGCCAGGAGGAGCUCCUGGACGUGGGAGAGGAGGAGCGCCUGGGCUGGAGGUGGAGGCGCCUGGACCUGGGCGCAGUCGCCGGAUG